CCUACGGGAGGCAGCAGUGGGGAAUAUUGGGCAAUGGAGGAAACUCUGACCCAGCAACGCCGCGUGAAUGAUGAAGGUCUUCGGAUUGUACAGUUCUUUUCUUAGGGAAGAAGAAAGUGACGGUACCUUAGGAAUAAGCCUCGGCUAACUACGUGCCAGCAGUCGCGGUAAUACGGAGGAGGCAAGCGUUAUCCGGAAUGACUGGGCGUAAAGGGUGCGUAGGUGGUUCAGCAAGUUAGUAGCGUAAUUCCGGAGCUAAACUUCGGCACUACUACUAAAACUGUUGGACUUGAGUGCAGGAGGGGCAGCUGGAAUUUGUAGUGUAGCGGUGGAAUGCGUAGAUAUGAGGAAGAACACCGGUGGCGAAGGCGAGUUGCUGGACUGUAACUGACACUGAGGCACGAAAGCGUGGGGAGCGAACAGGAUUAGAUACCCCUGUAGUC
rnacentral:rRNA from 1 species